rnacentral:rRNA from 1 species
AACGAACGCUGGCGGCAUGCCUAACACAUACAAGUCGAACGAGAUCUUCAGGUCUAGUGGCGCACGGGUGCGUAACGCGUGGGAAUCUGCCCUUUGGUUCGGAAUAACAGUUGGAAACGACUGCUAAUACCGGAUGAUGACGAAAGUCCAAAGAUUUAUCGCCAGAGGAUGAGCCCGCGUAGGAUUAGCUAGUUGGUGUGGUAAAGGCGCACCAAGGCGACGAUCCUUAGCUGGUCUGAGAGGAUGAUCAGCCACACUGGGACUGAGACACGGCCCAGACUCCUACGGGAGGCAGCAGUGGGGAAUAUUGGACAAUGGGCGAAAGCCUGAUCCAGCAAUGCCGCGUGAGUGAUGAAGGCCUUAGGGUUGUAAAGCUCUUUUACCCGGGAUGAUAAUGACAGUACCGGGAGAAUAAGCUCCGGCUAACUCCGUGCCAGCCGCCGCAGUAA